CAGCAGCCGCGGUAAUACAGAGGGUGCGAGCGUUAAUCGGAUUUACUGGGCGUAAAGCGUUCGUAGGCGGCUUCUUAAGUCGGAUGUGAAAUCCCUGAGCUUAACUUAGGAAUUGCAUUCGAUACUGGGAAGCUAGAGUAUGGGAGAGGAUGGUAGAAUUCCAGGUGUAGCGGUGAAAUGCGUAGAGAUCUGGAGGAAUACCGAUGGCGAAGGCAGCCAUCUGGCCUAAUACUGACGCUGAGGUACGAAAGCAUGGGGAGCAAACAGGAUUAGAUACCCCGGUAGUCCCUGUCUCUUAUAC
rnacentral:rRNA from 1 species